AUUGAACGCUGGCGGCAGGCCUAACACAUGCAAGUCGAGCGAGCGGCGGACGGGUGAGUAAUGUAUGGGGACUGCCUGAUAGAGGGGGAUAACUACUGGAAACGGUGGCUAAUACCGCAUACUAUCGGUGAACACUAGGGGGAUUAGCUAGUGGGUGGGGUAAAGGCUCACCUAGGGGACGAUCCCUAGCUGGUCUGAGAGGCUGAGUAGCCACACUGGGACUGAGACACGGCCCAGACUCCUACGGAGUCAGCAGUGGGGAAUAUUGGACAAUGGGCGAAAGCCUGAUGCAGCCAUGCCGCGUGUAUGAAGAAGGCCUUAGGGUUGUAAAGUACUUUCAGCGGGGAGGCGGUACCCGCAGAAGAAGCACCGGCUAACUCCGUGCCAGCAGCCGCGGUAAUUC
rnacentral:rRNA from 1 species